rnacentral:rRNA from 1 species
GGAGGUGCAAGCGUUGUCCGAUUUAUUGGGUUUAAAGGGUGCGUAGGCGGCCCGUUAAGUCAGUGGUGAAAGCCUCCAGCUCAACUGGAGAACUGCCAUUGAUACUGACGGGCUUGAGUACAGACGAGGUUGGCGGAAUUGAUUGUGUAGCGGUGAAAUGCAUAGAUACAAUCAAGAACACCGAUUGCGUAGGCAGCUAACUAGGCUGUAACUGACGCUGAGGCACGAAAGCGUGGGGAGCGAACAGGAUUAGAUACCCUGGUAGUCCACGCUGUAAACGAUGAUUACUCGAUGUCGGCGAUAAACUGUCGGCGUCUUAGCGAAAGCGUUAAGUAAUCCACCUGGGGAGUACGCCCGCAAGGGUG